CCAUCAACGUGGUCGGGGCUGUGCUGGGCAUCGGGCUGGCCUUGCUGAUCCUGGUGGUUUUUGGCUACACCUUCAUCCGGUGGUACCAGAGGGGCUGGUGCUGGCACCGGCCUGACUUUGUCUUCAACCUCUACCACACGCACGGGCUGGGGUCAGUGGCAGUGGAGCUGGUGCCCCCAUUCAGCAUCAGUGGCUCUCUGAGCACCACGGGCAGUGGCUACAAGCCCUUCCACACCCGGGGGCCGUGAGGAGGGAGCUGGGCUGCUGAGCAGCUUCACAGAAUAGCUGGGGUUGGAAGGGACCUCUGGGGACCACCUGGUCCAAACUGCCACUGGAAGAAGUGACACAGGAAUGCAUCCAGGAGGAUUUUGAAUGUCACCAGAGAGGGAGACUCCACACUCUCCCUGGGCAGCUCCUCCAUCUGCUCCCCAGCCACAGCUCUCUUGCUGUCCUUCCCUGGCCAUGGGCAGCACAGGAGGUGCCUGGGGCUGGCACUGGCACAGCCUCCCCUCGCUUGGGAUGGAGGAAGAGGAUGCGGCCUCAUCUCAGGCUCCCUCAGCACUCAUCCCAGAGAAAACAGCCACCCUCCCCACGGCUCAGAGACCUUCCAGCCCUCAGGACCAGCCACCUGCAUGCCCAGGAGACCUGGGGCUGAGAGUGCAGGGCACCAGCUAAGGAGGACAGCCAAGAGCCCCAGAACUGGGUGGCUAGGUUUGUGCAACUGUGAAGAAAUGGGAAAUCUACUCCAGGCCCCCUCCUCGCUCCAGUAUCUGGACCAAUGCGGGAGUUUGUCCCCUGCACCAAUAGUGCAAGCAAACACCUCAGAAAGCCCCUGUGAGGUUUGUCCUGAUUUUUUUCAUACCAACUGCCUUCAGUCUCAGCAGAGCAAGUGGCUGUGGAAGUGCCCAGAGCAUGAGAGCAGCCAUGGGGAAGGUGCUGUGGCCACAGAGAGGGACCAUUUCUAUGCAAACUUUCCUCAGAAGGAAAAUGAAGAGAAACUCAUGACUCCCUGUGGCUGUGUGAGGGAAACCGGUGAGGACAGAGCGGGAUUUCCAGGCAGUCGGAGGGACUAUCAGCACUCUCGGCCACCAAAGCCAAGCCCUGUGGUCUGCAGCUUUCUGGAGAACUCCUGGGUUUGGUUGAAAGGAGAGCUCUGGCUGCUCAUGUUGCCCUGGGUGCUGGCAGCUGGAGCCCUUGGUGGUGGGCAGGAACUGCCAGCGCUCGGCACAGCGCAGGAUCCGCCCGCGGAGCUUUGACGUCAGCGGCGCUUGAAAGAAAAACUAAACAAAAAAGUCACGCUUAGUUUUGAUGACUCCGUUUUCCAGAGGAAGUUGAAAAAAAAAGAAAAAGAAAGCAAAAAGCUCCAGCCCCCAAAAUACACAGAGGCAGAAGAGUUGGGGUCAGUGGCGGGGCAGGAGGAGGUGCCCAGUGACCUCCACAGCCGGGCCCCCGCGGGAUGCAGGCACUGACCUCACAUGUGAGUAGUGCAACAUCUGGUGUAACAAAAGGCAACCUGGCAAAGAUCAGUGUCCUUCUCCUGCCUGCAGUGACUCAUGCUUUCACCUGAAAAACAUAUUCCCCGAGGAGGGUUUCCACCAGCAGUUUUAAUGGGACUAUCCCACCGUGAAGGUUCUUGGAAACGAAGUGACUCUUGGAAAAACUUCCCUGCUGCGAUCUGGCAGCAGUCAGGUGUGUAGCCCACGGUGAGUUGUUCCAUCUCUUGCUGUUUCCAUUCUGACAGUAACUAUUCACAGAAUCACAGAAUCAAUCAGGUUGGAAAAGACCUCUGAGGUCAUCAAUCUAACCUAUGACCAAACACCACCAUGUCAACAAGCCCGUGGCACUAAGUGCCACAUUCAGUCUUUCCUGGUUUCCCCAACCCCUGGGUUUGAUUUGUUCUGCUCUGCCCUGAGGUUCUCCUGUCCUUCCCUGGUGCUGUCCCAUGGAAUCCCUGUGUAUUCCCUGCUGCCUCAUCCCAUCCCUGUGGAAUCAUGAUGAGCAGUUCAGCUCCUUUUCCCUGCUGCUCCUCUGGUGACUGAUCCCACAACACUGCCCUGGGACAACUGCCACGGUCCUCAGGUGCAUAAGAAUCUCUCAGUGAUCUGCCUUGGUUCUCCUUUUGCAGCUGUGAUGUGCUGGAAAUGCUCUUCCCCACGUGAGGCAAAGGCACGUUGCCCUUUGCUGCUGGGGAAUGUCUGUGCGUGAAAACGGAAAGCGCAGCUUGACCUUAGGAGAGGAUGAACAGACAAACGGCCCAAAUAAAUAACACCACAUCCUUUGUAUUUACAAAUUAAAUAGAAUAAAUAAUGUCUGCAUACAGGAGGGGCAGAACACAGCCCAUAGUGUUAAGCAGGGCUGGCCUGGCUCAUCGUGUAUCCCGUAACCCAUGAGACAGCCAGCACCCCACGGCUCUGCCAGAGGGGCUGGAUGCCAAAGGGUCUCUGUGGGGUCAGAAAAGUCCCUCGCUCCCUCCAUGUGAGGUCAGCCAGGGAGGGAGCCCCGUGCUCCAGCAGUAGGGUGGCUGAUGUCAGGCUGCCCUCUGCUCCCAGUGUCUGUGUUGUGAAAGGUCUGGAUGUCGUCGGAGGACGUCACCGGAGCUGUGGACGUCAGCUGGAGGAGCCCAGUGCUGGCCAGAGGAAGGGGGAAGUGGAACCACAGAGCUGGCCCCAGCCCCAAGGGUGGCCCUGUGCCUCAGGCUGGGCUGCUGAGGAGGGCAGACAAGACAGGAUCAUCCUUGGGAAACAUCCUGGUGUGCACCAGCAGAGCCCCCAGGAUCCCCAAAAGCACAAUGAAGCAGGGGCUGAGGAUGCUCGGGAGAAGCUCCACAAUCCCUGCAAGAGAGGACGUGUCCAGGACCGUGUGGGACAGAUGGGGAGAGCAUGGGAGCAGCAACUCAUCUCACCGUCUUGUUGUCCUGCGUCCUCCUGACGUACACCCGGUACUGCCUCACGUCCUCAUGGAUG